GUUUAGUCCUGGUUUAGACCUGGUUUAGUCCUGGUUUAGACCUGGUUUAGACCUGGUUUAGUCCUGGUUUAGAUCUGGUUUAGUCCUGGUUUAGACCUGGUUUAGAAAUGGUUCCUGGUUUAGUCCUGGCUUAGUCCUGGUUUAGUCCUGGUUUAGUCCUGGUUUAGACCUGGUUUAGACCUGGUUUAGUCCUGGUUUAGACCUGGUUUAGAAAUGGUUCCUGGUUUAGUCCUGGUUUAGACCUGGUUUAGUCCUGGUUUAGUCCUGGUUCUUGGUGGAUUAUGUUUGACCUAAAAACAUCUGGAUUUAGCUCCGCCUCCGCAGUGUGUCUGAUUGACAGAUGUAAUCUGGGGGCGGGUCCUAAUCCAGUGUUUAAUCCGACAGAGACUGGACCAAGACCAGACCAGAGGCCAGAGACUGGACCAAGACCAGACCAGAGGCCAGAGACUGGACCAAGACCAGACCAGAGACUAGAGGCUGGACCAAGACCAGACCAGAGACCAGACCAAGACUUUACCAGAGACCAGAUACCAAAGACCGGACCAAGCCUGGACCAGACCAGAGAUCAGACCAGAGACCAGAGACCAGGGAAUGGACUAAAACGUGACUGAACCCAGACACAUUCAGACUCCAGCCCCGGUCCUGAUAGUCAGAGGAGGCGGAGUCUUUGGUUGAAGCCGCCGCCCACUCUACCCCUUUAAAGGGGGAGGUGUGCGCCAGCAGCUCAUUGGCCGAUGACUCGUCCAGUCAGAGGUCAUCUGUGAGUCACCUGACCCGCUCUCCUCCAAUCAGAGCGCUCAGCUUCAGGACCAUGCAGUGUCGAGUCACGCUAUUGGAC